GGGGGAUUAACUCAGAUGGUAGAGUGCUCACUUAGCAUAUGAGAGGUAGUGGGAUCGAUGCCUGCAUCCCACA